UUGACAUGUCCGGAAUCCGAAGAGAUUUGGGAGUGCUCGCAAGAGAACCGGAACACAGGUGCUGCAUGGCUGUCGUCAGCUCGUGUCGUGAGAUGUUGGGUUAAGUCCCGCAACGAGCGCAACCCUUGUCAUUAGUUGCCAUCAUUUGGUUGGGCACUCUAAUGAAGACUGCCGGUGACAAACCGGAGGAAGGUGGGGAUGACGUCAAGUCCUCAUGGCCCUUAUGGGUAGGGCUUCACACGUCAUACAAUGGUCGGUACAGAGGGUUGCCAACCCGCGAGGGGGAGCUAAUCCCACAAAGCCGAUCGUAGUCCGGAUCGCAGUCUGCAACUCGACUGCGUGAAGUCGGAAUCGCUAGUAAUCGUGGAUCAGCAUGUCACGGUGAAUACGUUCCCGGGUCUU
rnacentral:rRNA from 1 species